rnacentral:lncRNA from 1 species
CAAUGCUAAUUAAGUUUUAUGAUUUCAAGUUAUAGCUAGGUACCUAAUAUAUAUUGACACUCGAUUAGUAUGCCUCAGAACAUGAUUUGUAUCCAUCCAUACAUGGAACCAAAAUCAAAUGCAUUUAUAUAUUCUUAUGAAAAUUCUAUUACAAGAUUGGAAGGUCCAGAUUACAAAAAAAAAGAUGUAAAUCACUACUUAGAAGCAUCACCAGGGCAACUAUCUACGAAGUAGUUUUCCUCAGUGCUGACAUCCCCCUCGGUUUGUAUGGCUACGUCGAUGUUACUCACC